CUACGGGUCGCAGCAGUGGGGAAUAUUGCACAAUGGAGGAAACUCUGAUGCAGCAACGCCGCGUGGAGGAUGACACUUUUCGGAGCGUAAACUCCUUUUAUAUAGGAAGAAGAUGACGGUACUAUAUGAAUAAGCGCCGGCUAACUCCGUGCCAGCAGCCGCGGUAAUACGGGAGGGCGCAAGCGUUACUCGGAAUCACUGGGCGUAAAGAGCGUGUAGGCGGAUUAAAAAGUCAGAAGUGAAAUCCUAUAGCUUAACUAUAGAACUGCUUCUGAAACUCUUAAUCUAGAAUAUGGGAGAGGUAGAUGGAAUUUCUGGUGUAGGGGUAAAAUCCGUAGAGAUCAGAAGGAAGACCGAUUGCGAAGGCGAUCUACUAGAACAUUAUUGACGCUGAGACGCGAAAGCGUGGGGAGCAAACAGGAUUAGAUACCCCAGUAGUC
rnacentral:rRNA from 1 species